AUGGACGCUCGUCUGCUGCUGAAUUCAUGUUUUAAAAGAAUGGACAAAGAUAGUCAGAUAGUUGAUACAAAGACCUUUGAUUUUUCAAACUGAUGGAUAAAAAGUUAUUAUAAACAGAUAUAUUGAAAUGGCCGACUCAAAAUCAUGCUGUUAAUUAGGGCCCCCUGUUGUACAUGUACUUAGGAAUCGGACACCUCCAGAAGAUGAAAGAUCUACUUUACAUCUUUUUCAACGAAAGUACAAUUACUUUGAGAAGUAGGAGAAGCUAAGCAACAGGACAGAAUUCAUUUGAGGUAUUGCUUUCCAGAUUAUAUAGUGGAGUCAUAGAUUGUCCUAUUGAUUUAUGUGGAUAUGAGGAGCAGUAGUCAAUGAAUAAUUUUGUGAUGAGAGAAUUAGCUCCUCAGAUAUAAGUGGAAGGGAAGCUAUAUACAUUAUAUGUUUAAAUGAAAUUAACAACAGGAUUAGAUAUUGAGGAGAUCCUAUAGCUACAGUAUAUAUAAAUGUAACUGCAACUGUAUUCCAAGAGUCUGAUGGCUGAUAAUGUAUUACAGGAUUUUAUCAUUCAAGCAACAUCUUAGAAGGAUAAGUGCAAAUGUAUGAAGGAAGCCUUGGGUACAAAUAGCAAUUACAGCAAUUACAUGCAGGAGAGAACUCUUAACAUUACUAACAGACAUGUAGUCAUUAUAUGGGAGUGGUGUAUUCAAGAAAUCUAAAACACAUGGAAUUAAAUAUCGUGUAUAUUUUUUCAACCACAAGUACUCUCAGAAUAUAAUACAAUUCAAAUUCAAAUUAUUGUGCCAACAUGACAAUUACAGUCUAAAAAUGGAAAAUGCAUGUUUUAAACUGAUUUUUAUAUAAAUAUUUGAAAUAACAAGAA